GAAGGGGGGCACCUUUGGCCCUCCUGUUGCUGCUGGAGUCCAGCUCUCAAUCCAACAACAGCCGGAGGGCUGGAGGUUCCCCACCUCA
ensembl:miRNA aca-mir-5452 aca-mir-5452